GAUCACCCAGGACAGUGGAUCACUCGGCUUGUGGGUCGAUGAAGAACGCAGCAAAUUGCGCGUCGACAUGUGAACUGCAGGACACAUGAACAUCGACGUUUCGAACGCACAUUGCGGUCCAUGGAUUCCGUUCCCGGGCCACGUCUGGCUGAGGGUCGGCUAC
rnacentral:rRNA from 1 species